AAGAUUGCCUCUUCCUGAAAGCAAUUGUUUGUGGAUGACUUUUUUCAGGUUUAGCUUGUUGGUGGGGUAAAGGCCCACCAAGGCUGCGAUGGUUAGCUGGUCUGAGAGGAUGAUCAGUCACACUGGAACUGGAACACGGUCCAGACUCCUACGGGAGGCAGCAGUGAGGAAUUUUGCGCAAUGGGGGCAACCCUGGGGGU
rnacentral:rRNA from 1 species